rnacentral:rRNA from 1 species
UACGUAGGGUGCGAGCGUUAAUCGGAAUUACUGGGCGUAAAGCGUGCGCAGGCGGUUGUGCAAGACAGAUGUGAAAUCCCCGGGCUUAACCUGGGAACUGCAUUUGUGACUGCACGGCUAGAGUGUGUCAGAGGGGGGUAGAAUUCCACGUGUAGCAGUGAAAUGCGUAGAGAUGUGGAGGAACACCGAUGGCGAAGGCAGCCCCCUGGGUCAAGAUUGACGCUCAUGCACGAAAGCGUGGGGAGCAAACAGG